rnacentral:tRNA from 1 species
GAUUCAAUGGUGUAGAGGUAUCAUGGGCGCUUGCCAUUCCAGUAAUGUGCGCCCGACCCGGGUUCGAUUCCCGGUUGAAUCA